CCCACCGCUCCACUUUUCAUAGCAAAAACACACGAUUCUCUGUGUUAUGAGUCUUUUGCAGUUGUCUUGUUAGGCUUUCAUGAUUUUUUUUGCACAAAAUAUCCUUCGAAUUUUUAUAAAACGUGUUUCUGCUCUGCGCUGAGAGUCACAGGCUGUUUGAAGGGAGUUACUCUGCCUUUUCAAGUGUUUGAUAGGUCUUGUGUGCAUUUUAAGAGUGUUUCGAAGAAGUGUUUAUACCUAUUGUCAACGUUUUGUGUUGAUUUUCCAUGUUGUGCAGGAAAUGUCGGGUGCUUCAAGCGGUCGCGCUGGUUAUGGAGUGUACGUCGAACAGCUCGUUUUUGAUGUAGAUGUCGUUCUCCACAACCGAAUUGAUGAAAGCAUUGAAAACAUAUUUAUUUACAAAGUGUCCAUUCAAUUCAUCCCACUACAUGGUGGAAUUUUAGCGUCCACUUUGGUACAUUUUUGUCGUUUUGGUAUUCUCUAAAUGAUUUCGUACAACACUUACGUUGCAGAAAAAUGUUAAGCUUAUAGAAGUUCUUCUCAAUGGAAUUGUGAUAAUGUUUUAAACUUCUUUGUGUGGGGUAUUUUAGUUCUCAGAUCUUUGGCUAGAGGAAAAGUUAGGUUUUAUGUAUGUAGUGGAUAAUUUAACAAAUGGGUUCAUCUGAUCCUCGCACACUCUCUUUUCAUGGUCUUUCUUAAGACUGCAGAAAUCAGGAAAUGGCAGAUGCUGAAAGCGGUGAAGCUUGUUAUGGAGCGUCAUGUUUGUUCAAAGCAUUAAAUCAUUACUUUUUGUUUUAUAUGCCAUGGCCGAUUCAGGGUUAAAUGUAUUUUAGGUUUUUUUUGCAAGGUGCACGGCUCCCUGAUAUUUGUAAGUCUUCCGAUUUAUAUAGUUUUAUAUAAUAAAAUAUGUUUUCUAUA